UCCAUAAUUCUCAUUGUUUUCCUAGUGUUUAUGCUAACCCCGCUCUUUCUGACUUUUAACAAGGUUACCUCCCAAGCUCUUCCUUGGAUCUGUCCCCUAGUGAUGCCUCUAGGGUUUGCUAUUUAAGUCUCCUUGUGUCAUGACCUAACUUACAACUCCCUCCACAACUGGCAACAUCCAAUUUCCUUUCUCCAUUGGAACCUCCAGCCUGACCUGUCUGCACUUCAAUGCUCCACCAUAUUUUCCAUAUCGGCACAUUAAUCUCCACAUGGAUCAACACCCCCUGACUCUGCUCACACCUCCAAGCCAUCAACCUCUGACCAUGAUCCAUCUCCCAUCCAUCUCAGUGAUAAAGAAAGCCAGCAAAACAGUUCCACAGCAAGCACAGCAAUCCCUGCUUCCAAUGUGAAACAGCCUUAGAGUGUCGGGAAAAAAAUGCAAGAAAAGAAAGCAUUUGCUGGAAAUCAGGAUGUCUUUGAAGAGCUCUGGACUCUUGCAAGCAAGACCUGCAUGCAAGAGGGAGCGACAUCUGUGGACAAUCGCAUGUACAAUGAAGCUCAAGGGGGCAGUCACAUGAGGAAGAUUGUUAUUUUUCAGGUUACAUUAAGUCCCUCCUUAAUUCACUCAGUUUUUGUGGGUGCAGUCCUCUUCUUAUUGUUGGCUUUAUCCUCACCAAGUCCAUUACUUUUUGCAACUAACUGCUUUGCUUCAUGUCUAAGUCAAGAAAGCUCUAACAUUUAAAGCUUUCACUAUUAAACAUCUUUAACAUAAGAAACUCUAAAACAAAUAAUUUUCCAAACCUAGAAAUGUCAAAAUUUCAGAUUGUAAUAAAAUUUCAGACAGGCAAGGCAAGUUUAAACAAACAAAGAACUGUCAUGAUUUGGGGUUGUUUGGUUUUUGGUUUCGGGUUUUUCCUUAUGUUUUUCACUGUUCAAGUUUUGAAUCAUGUUU